CCGGUCAGGGAUGGGCUCGCGGCCUAUCAGCUUGUUGAUGGGGUAACGGCCUACCAAGGCGAUGACGGGUAGCCGGCCUGAGAGGGCGACCGGCCACACUGGGACUGAGACACGGCCCAGACUCCUGCGGGAGGCAGCAGUGGGGAAUAUUGCGCAAUGGGCGGAAGCCUGACGCAGCGACGCCGCGUGGGGGAUGAAGGCCUUCGGGUUGUAAACCUCUUUUACCACUCACGAAGGCCCCUGGUUUUCUGGGGGUUGACGGUAGGUGGUGAAUAAGGACCGGCUAACUACGUGCCAGCAGCCGCGGUAAUACGUAGGGUCCGAGCGUUGUCCGGAAUUAUUGGGCGUAAAGAGCUCGUAGGCGGCCUGUCGCGUCUGUUGUGAAAGUCCGGGGCUUAACUCCGGGUGUGCAGUGGAUACGGGCAGGCUUGAGGUAGGUAGGGGAGACUGGAAUUCCUGGUGUAGCGGUGAAAUGCGCAGAUAUCAGGAGGAACACCGGUGGCGAAGGCGGGUCUCUGGGCCUUACCUGACGCUGAGGAGCGAAAGCGUGGGGAGCGAACAGGAUUAGAUACCCUGGUAGUCCACGCCGUAAACGUUGGGCGCUAGGUGUGGGGACUUUCCACGGUUUCCGUGCCGUAGCUAACGCAUUAAGCGCCCCGCCUGGGGAGUACGGCCGCAAGGCUAAAACUCAAAUGAAUUGACGG
rnacentral:rRNA from 1 species